rnacentral:rRNA from 1 species
GAUGAACGCUGGCGGCGUGCCUAAUACAUGCAAGUCGAGCGAACAGACGAGGAGCUUGCUCCUCUGACGUUAGCGGCGGACGGGUGAGUAACACGUGGAUAACCUACCUAUAAGACUGGGAUAACUUCGGGAAACCGGAGCUAAUACCGGAUAAUAUAUUGAACCGCAUGGUUCAAUAGUGAAAGACGGUUUUGCUGUCACUUAUAGAUGGAUCCGCGCCGCAUUAGCUAGUUGGUAAGGUAACGGCUUACCAAGGCAACGAUGCGUAGCCGACCUGAGAGGGUGAUCGGCCACACUGGAACUGAGACACGGUCCAGACUCCUACGGGAGGCAGCAGUAGGGAAUCUUACGCAAUGGGCGAAAGCCUGACGGAGCAACGCCGCGUGAGUGAUGAAGGUCUUCGGAUCGUAAAACUCUGUUAUUAGGGAAGAACAAAUGUGUAAGUAACUAUGCACGUCUUGACGGUACCUAAUCAGCAAGCCACGGCUAACUACGUG